rnacentral:misc_RNA from 1 species
UUUCCGUAGGUGAACCCGCGGAAGGAUCAUUAGUGAAUAAUAGGACGUCUUCUCUUUGGAGAAGAGUCUGACCUCUCACUUUCUACACUGUGCACUUAGAUAUUUGGGAAUCAAGCUUUGAAUAGAAUUUUUUGUUCUAUUUCUAUAGCUCCCAAUUACUUUUUAUAACUCUACAAGUUAAAGAAUGUAAUGAUAAACCAUAACAAAAGAAAAACUUUCAACAACGGAUCUCUUGGCUCUC